CAUGAAGUCGGAAUUGCUAGUAAUCGCAGAUCAGCAUGCUGCGGUGAAUACGUUCCCGGGCCUUGUACACACCGCCCGUCACACCAUGGGAGUCGGUAACACCCGAAGUCAGGAGCCUGACCUUUUUAGGAGGGCACUGCCGAAGGUGGGAUUGAUGACUGGGGUGAAGUCGUAACAAGGUAUC
rnacentral:rRNA from 1 species